rnacentral:sRNA from 1 species
CAUUCGAGUUUCCCGACCAUGAGAUGACUCCACAUGCACUACCAUCUGAGGCCACCCCAUGGGCCCACCUCAGUGGGGAGGGUGGGCGUCCUUAUGAGGCCCUCUGACUGGGCCUGCUAUCUGUCACCCAACAGGUAUGCUGCCCCACAAAACCAAGCGAGGCCAGGCCGCUCUGGACCGUCUCAAGGUGUUUGACGGCAUCCCACCGCCCUACGACAAGAAAAAGCGGAUGGUGGUUCCUGCUGCCCUCAAGGUCGUGCGUCUGAAGCCUACAAGAAAGGUGAGUCCCAGCUUAUGCUGCACCAUCUACUUGGGAGAUUUCAGGCCUGCUGAGGGACCUGGGGACCCGGAGCCUGGCAGAUGAUGUCCUUAUCUCACGAUGGUCUGCGGAUGUCCCUGCGGGAAUG